GACGAACGCUGGCGGCGUGCCUAAUACAUGCAAGUCGAGCGCAGGAAACUGACGGAACUCUUCGGAGGGAAGGCAGUGGAAUGAGCGGCGGACGGGUGAGUAACACGUAAGGAACCUGCCUCAAGGAUUGGGAUAACUCCGAGAAAUCGGAGCUAAUACCGGAUAGUUCAACGGACCGCAUGGUCCGCUGAUGAAAGGCGCUUCGGCGUCACCUUGAGAUGGCCUUGCGGUGCAUUAGCUAGUUGGUGGGGUAACGGCCCACCAAGGCGACGGUGCAUAGCCGACCUGAGAGGGUGAUCGGCCACACUGGGACUGGAACACGGCCCAGACUCCUACGGGAGGCAGCAGUAGGGAAUCUUCCACAAUGGACGAAAGUCUGAUGGAGCAACGCCGCGUGAGUGAUGAAGGUUUUCGGAUCGUAAAACUCUGUUGUAAGGGAAGAACACGUACGAGAGGGAAUGCUCGUACCUUGACGGUACCUUACGAGAAAGCCACGGCUAACUACGUGCCAGCCGCCGCCGUAA
rnacentral:rRNA from 1 species